rnacentral:rRNA from 1 species
AACGAACGCUGGCGGCAUGCCUAACACAUGCAAGUCGAACGAGACCUUCGGGUCUAGGGGCGCACGGGUGCGUAACGCGUGGGAACCUGCCCUUAUUCGCGGAAUAACUCCCCGAAAUCGGUUCUAAUACCGUAUAAUUUCUUCGGACCAGAGAUUUAUCGCCUUUGGAUGGGCCCGCGUUGGAUUAGCUAGUUGGUAGGGUAACAGCCUACCAAGGCGACGAUCCAUAGCUGGUCUGAGAGGAUGAUCAGCCACACUGGGACUGAGACACGGCCCAGACUCCUACGGGAGGCAGCAGUGGGGAAUAUUGGACAAUGGGCGCAAGCCUGAUCCAGCCAUGCCGCGUGAGUGAUGAAGGCCUUAGGGUUGUAAAGCUCUUUUACCCGGGAUGAUAAUGACAGUACCGGGAGAAUAAGCUCCGGCUAACUCCGUG